AUGAACGCUAGCUACAGGCUUAACACAUGCAAGUCGAGGGGCAGCAUGAACUUAGCUUGCUAAGUUUGAUGGCGACCGGCGCACGGGUGAGUAACACGUAUCCAACCUGCCGAUGACUCGGGGAUAGCCUUUCGAAAGAAAGAUUAAUACCCGAUGGCAUAGUUCUUCCGCAUGGUAGAACUAUUAAAGAAUUUCGGUCAUCGAUGGGGAUGCGUUCCAUUAGGUUGUUGGCGGGGUAACGGCCCACCAAGCCUUCGAUGGAUAGGGGUUCUGAGAGGAAGGUCCCCCACAUUGGAACUGAGACACGGUCCAAACUCCUACGGGAGGCAGCAGUGAGGAAUAUUGGUCAAUGGACGAGAGUCUGAACCAGCCAAGUAGCGUGAAGGAUGACUGCCCUAUGGGUUGUAAACUUCUUUUAUACGGGAAUAAAGUGAGGCACGUGUGCCUUUUUGUAUGUACCGUAUGAAUAAGGAUCGGCUAACUCCGUGCCAGCAGCCGCGGUAAUACGGAGGAUCCGAGCGUUAUCCGGAUUUAUUGGGUUUAAAGGGAGCGUAGGCGGACGCUUAAGUCAGUUGUGAAAGUUUGCGGCUCAACCGUAAAAUUGCAGUUGAUACUGGGUGUCUUGAGUACAGUAGAGGCAGGCGGAAUUCGUGGUGUAGCGGUGAAAUGCUUAGAUAUCACGAAGAACUCCGAUUGCGAAGGCAGCUUGCUGGACUGUAACUGACGCUGAUGCUCGAAAGUGUGGGUAUCAAACAGGAUUAGAUACCCUGGUAGUCCACACAGUAAACGAUGAAUACUCGCUGUUUGCGAUAUACAGUAAGCGGCCAAGCGAAAGCGUUAAGUAUUCCACCUGGGGAGUACGCCGGCAACGGUGAAACUCAAAGGAAUUGACGGGGGCCCGCACAAGCGGUGGAGUAUGUGGUUUAAUUCGAAGCAACGCGAAGAACCUUACCAGGCCUUGACAUCCCUUGCAGAGGUAUAGAGAUAUAUCCGAGGUUAUCAAGGAGACAGGUGGUGCAUGGUUGUCGUCAGCUCGUGUCGUGAGAUGUUGGGUUAAGUCCCGCAACGAGCGCAACCCUUAUCCUUUGUUGCCAGCGGUCCGGCCGGGAACUCAAAGGAGACUGCCAGUGAUAAACUGGAGGAAGGUGGGGAUGACGUCAAAUCAGCACGGCCCUUACGUCCGGGGCUACACACGUGUUACAAUGGGGGGUACAGAAGGCAGCUACACGGCGACGUGAUGCUAAUCCCUAAAGCCUCUCUCAGUUCGGAUUGGAGUCUGCAACCCGACUCCAUGAAGCUGGAUUCGCUAGUAAUCGCGCAUCAGCCACGGCGCGGUGAAUACGUUCCCGGGCCUUGUACACACCGCCCGUCAAGCCAUGAAAGCCGGGGGUACCUGAAGUGCGUAACCGCAAGGAGCGCCCUAGGGUAAAACUGGUGAUUGGGGCU
rnacentral:rRNA from 1 species